UAAUACGUAGGGUGCAAGCGUUAAUCGGAAUUACUGGGCGUAAAGGGUGCGCAGGCGGCUGUGCAAGACAGAUGUGAAAUCCCCGGGCUUAACCUGGGAACUGCAUUUGUGACUGCACGGCUAGAGUUUGUCAGAGGAGGGUGGAAUUCCGCGUGUAGCAGUGAAAUGCGUAGAUAUGCGGAAGAACACCAAUGGCGAAGGCAGCCCUCUGGGACAUGACUGACGCUCAUGCACGAAAGCGUGGGGAGCAAACAGGAUUAGAUACCCUGGUAGUCCACGCCCUAAACGAUGUCAGCUGAUUGUUCGGGAAGCAAUUCCUGGGUAACCAAGCCAACGCGUGAAGCUGACCGCCUGGGAAGUACGGUCGCAAGAUUA
rnacentral:rRNA from 1 species